UGGGGAAUUUUGGACAAUGGGCGAAAGCCUGAUCCAGCAAUGCCGCGUGUGUGAAGAAGGCCUUCGGGUUGUAAAGCACUUUUGUCCGGAAAGAAAUCCUUGGCUCUAAUACAGUCGGGGGAUGACGGUACCGGAAGAAUAAGCACCGGCUAACUACGUGCCAGCAGCCGCGGUAAUACGUAGGGUGCAAGCGUUAAUCGAAAUUACUGGGCGUAAAGCGUGCGCAGGCGGUUUGCUAAGACCGAUGUGAAAUCCCCGGGCUCAACCUGGGAACUGCAUUGGUGACUGGCAGGCUAGAGUAUGGCAGAGGGGGGUAGAAUUCCACGUGUAGCAGUGAAAUGCGUAGAGAUGUGGAGGAAUACCGAUGGCGAAGGCAGCCCCCUGGGCCAAUACUGACGCUCAUGCACGAAAGCGUGGGGAGCAAAACAGGAUUAGAUGCCCUGGUAGUCCACGCCCUAAACGAUGUCAACUAGUUGUUGGGGAUUCAUUUCCUUAGUAACGUAGCUAACGCGUGAAGUUGACCGCCUGGGGAGUACGGUCGCAAGAUUAAAACUCAAAUGAAUUGACGGGGUCAUAGCUGUUUCCU
rnacentral:rRNA from 1 species